rnacentral:rRNA from 1 species
CGCUAGCGACAGGACUUAACACAUGCAAGUCGAGGGGCAGCACGGGAGUAGCAAUACAACGUGGUGGCGACCGGCGACACGGGUGAGUAACGCGUAUGCAACCUACCUAUCAGGAGGGGAAUAACCCGGCGAAAGUCGGACUAAUACCGCAUAAAACAGGGGCACCGCAUGGUGAUAUUUGUUAAAGAAAUUCGCUGAUAGAUGGGCAUGCGUUCCAUUAGGUAGUUGGUGAGGUAACGGCUCACCAAGCCGACGAUGGAUAGGGGAACUGAGAGGUUGGUCCCCCACACUGGUACUGAGACACGGACCAGACUCCUACGGGAGGCAGCAGUGAGGAAUAUUGGUCAAUGGGCGAGAGCCUGAACCAGCCAAGUCGCGUUGAAGGAAGAAGGAUCUAUGGUUCGUAAACUUCUUUUGCAGGGGAAUAAAGUGCGGGACGUGUCCUGUUUUGUAUGUACCCUGAGAAUAAGGAUCGGCUAACUCCGUGCCAGCAGCCGC